ACGCUCGACACCUACGGGGAGGCAGCAGGUGGGGAAUAUUGCACAAGUGGGGGAAACCCUGAUGCAGCGACGCCGCGUGAGCGAAGAAGUAUCUCGGUAUGUAAAGCUCUAUCAGCGAGGGAAGAAGAUGACGGUACCUGACUAAGAAGCACCGGACUAAAUACGUGCCAGAGCCGCGGUAAUCUGAGGCGGGCUGGCAAGGC
rnacentral:rRNA from 1 species